AGAAAUUUGACGAAAAUAUUUUCCUUUUCCUCUUCUUUCCAAGAAGUCCAUUUAGUUAAAGGUGACGUUAUAUUACCUUUUACUAAUAUUCUUAUUUGACUUCUUACAUUGUUUGUAAAAGUCCUAUAAAAAACAAUCAAAUUAAAUAAUAAAUUAUAAUGAAUUAUAAUGAAAAUUAAUACUCACCCGCUCUUAAGAAUAGUGGCGGGAGUUGGUGCAUCCGGUUGUCUCAAUCCUUUUGUCCAUUUUCUUCGAUGUUCUUCAUCGAAGCGGUCCUCUACGAUUUCUUCAUCUAUUCUUGCAGAUUGUGAUCGUCCGUCGUUUGUUCGUUUACGACUCCGUCCGCGUGCCAUUUCUAAUGGAAUAUUUUCUAAAUGAAUAAAUAAAAUGAAAUUAUUCUGCUUGGAAAAAAAAAUGAAAGUAUAAAACAUAACUACAUAUUGAAUCUUUGGGGAAAACAUAAUCACUAAUCUCAUUUACCAUUCAAUCUUCAAUCAUUUCGAUUCAUAUAUUAUUUUGAAAUGGAUAUGUUAAACACUUUAAUUUUUAAGCAUUUUCUUCCUUAGUAAUUAUUUUGAAAAUUGUCGAUGCUGAUUUUUGUUAAUGAGGAUUUUUAAUUUAACGUUUUUAUGUUUACUUUUCUAUAGGUGGUUCACACUCAAGCCAAGGUUGUAGGAGAACCUCGAUUUGUUAAACAGCAAUUCCUGAAGAAGCUUGAUUAGUUGUGUAUCUCAUUGAUGCUGUAAGGGUGUUUCAAGAAACACUAUUUUCAGAACAAUUGUGAGGGUGUUUCUCUAUUUUCAGAACAAUUUUCAGAACACUAUUUGUAUCCAAGAAACACUAUAAGAGUGAGGGUAUUUCUCAACAAUUGUUUCAUUAUCUCAAAUAUGGUAAUGUCUAAUAGCCUGUACUACACAAUUUGGGCUGUCACACUUCAUUAUCACAUGCAACAUUUUUUCCUCUUCUCAUAUGGUAAUGUAUAUAUUUCUAAACCAAAUGGCAUGGGUGGAUGUAUUUUGUAAUGCAUUAAUGCACAUGCACACACAUGGAGUGAGCUAUGUCUUACUUGUUUUCAAAAUAUGGAAUGAUCAGGAUCGUUGAUCCUUCUGAAUUAUGCAAUUAACCAACCCAUAAAUCCAUAAUUUCGUAAUAAAGAAUUAAAGAUUGUGAACACAGCUGGAACAGAUAUGUCGUCCUGGAAAAGCAAACCAGCACCACUAAAUCUCAAUUUUCAAUCAGGGCAUUAGGAAUUCAGGAUGCCGCAUAUGCCAUAUAAAAUUAAUCAUUAGGAAUCAGGGCAUUACUUAAUCAUGUUUAAUAAAAUAAAUAUCACUAAUGGCCGAUUCAUUUAUUAGGUUAAAUGGAUUCCGAAUAUGCCAUAUAACACCAGAUAGGGUGAUCGAAUUCAUCAUACCUAGGACGAAUCAAGCUACCACAGAGGAAUCGCUGCUGCAGUUGUCGCUGCUAUGCGU
rnacentral:lncRNA from 1 species